rnacentral:lncRNA from 1 species
UCCCCCUCUGUCCAACUAGCAGUCUCUUAAAUGAUACUGAAAGACUUGAAUUAUUGUCCUGUAUGGGGGGGGGGGGGGGGAGAAAGGAAGCAGGUGAAUUGUUCUGGAGCUGCUUUAAACAAAACAAGUGAAAUGCAUACAAAAACAUGGAGAACGGUAACAAGGACAGAAAUACAGUAUUUGUUUCUGAUGCGUUUUUGUGUACUCUAUGGCUCAGAUUGUUGGAGUAUCAGGUAGUGCUGAGUCUUCUGAAUGCAGGUGAGCCGAUGUUGGCGUUCUCUAGGCAACUGGUCAGUACCCCCAGGUGAGGCUAUGGCUGCUGUAUGGCAGUAACGGGGUACUGCAGCCACAUCCCUUUGGUUAUACUUCAGCAGCUGGGAAGAUAAAUGAGUCCUGCACAACUAUAGAUCAACUGCAGGAUGAUAAUUUUAAUUUAAUGUUUACACGUGUUUUUAACGUUCCCCUUAUUGUAAUGUGUUUUCAGCAAAGCUGGAAGAUGUUGCAAAUACAGCAUUGGGGUGUUGUUUCUAAAUUGAUUUAAUUAGAUCUGGUGUGAUUAGUGCUGUUAAUGUCAGCAUGUUUCAGAGGAUGGAGGGUUCUUAAUUCAGGUUGGCUUCCUUUGUAUUCUCUUAAUUUGAAGUUGUGGGAAUAUAUUUUAUAUUUUCCGAACACAUCUGUCACAUCUUACCUUGGUGGUGAUAGCAUAUCAUACCGCACCGUGUUCCUAUCCUUCUGUAGCUACACUAAUGUCUCCUCGACAGUACUGCACAGAGGCUUUUGUUCCUAGUGCAGCGAGCAAGCUCCUGCCCGGCUCAGACGCCUCGUGCUCAGCCUUCCACCUCUGCAGCCCAUGGAAAUUUCCCUCCUGUUACGUUGUGGCCAGGUUGCAGCUAACCGUAUAUCCGUUUUCAGGGUCAGAGGAAGAGUGCAAGACAAUCCUUUCUGCAUCUGUGCAGCAAGAAAGCAUUUUUGCAGGCUGGAAGGGAAGGGGCUGUAAUGCGGUAGGAAGCAGCGAUCACUUUAGGGAAGGCAAGGAGCUGCACAAAAUACGUCUUUUUGAAGAAAAUGGGACACGAGUUACAGCCUUAUGAACUGCUUUGGAAUACAGGUGCUUCCUUUACAAUCUCUAAAGAAGUUACUUCUGGGAGCAAAAACCUUAUUUCUUCUCUGUGACACUUUGUUGUUCGGCUUCCUUGAAGGAGCCGUUUAAGGCGCUGAUUGUUUCUGAUGGUGAUAGCAGUUGCUGCAGUCUCAGUGAAAUAUGACUGUGGUUUGAAGAUGAAUAUACGGCAUAAAUUAUAGCACGAGUAACUUUCCAGUGAUGUGUUGGGCUUCACCCUUGUUUCACAAAGGCACAUAAGCAACUCUAUACUGCUGUUUUGAGUUGGCAUUACAACCGAGUACUCAUCUUUUCUUA